AUUGAACGCUGGCGGCAGGCCUAACACAUGCAAGUCGAGCGGAGGAAGGGAGCUUGCUCCUGGAUUCAGCGGCGGACGGGUGAGUAAUGCCUAGGAAUCUGCCUGGUAGUGGGGGAUAACGUCCGGAAACGGGCGCUAAUACCGCAUACGUCCUGAGGGAGAAAGUGGGGGAUCUUCGGACCUCACGCUAUCAGAUGAGCCUAGGUCGGAUUAGCUAGUUGGUGGGGUAAAGGCCUACCAAGGCGACGAUCCGUAACUGGUCUGAGAGGAUGAUCAGUCACACUGGAACUGAGACACGGUCCAGACUCCUACGGGAGGCAGCAGUGGGGAAUAUUGGACAAUGGGCGAAAGCCUGAUCCAGCCAUGCCGCGUGUGUGAAGAAGGUCUUCGGAUUGUAAAGCACUUUAAGUUGGGAGGAAGGGCAGUAAGUUAAUACCUUGCUGUUUUGACGUUACCAACAGAAUAAGCACGGGCUAACUUCGUG
rnacentral:rRNA from 1 species